GCCAGUUUGAGAUGUUAAAUGGUAAAAUCCUAUUAAAACCGGUCAUCAACCUUCCCUUAAAACCAAACGGAUUCAGAUGUCCCACUACUUCUUCCUCAAUCUCCUCAACAAAGCCACCUCUCUGUCUCACCUAACCCAAAUCCACGCCCAGCUUCUCCUCCACGGUCUCCACACGGACAUUGCAGUUGCCACCAAACUCACCCACAAGCUCUUCGAUUUCAGCUCCACUUCCCACGCGCGUUCCCUCUUCUUCUCCAUCCCAAAACCCGAUAUUUUCCUCUUCAACGUCCUCAUCAAGGGCUUCUCUGACAAUGGCUCGCCUCUGCAGUCCAUUUCACUUUUUACCCAUUUGAGAAGAAGGCGUGGUCUUCAUCCUGAUAACUUUACUUAUGCUUUUGUUAUAUCAGCUGCUGCGAGUUUUGGGGAUGCCAAGGUUGGAUUGUUGCUUCAUGGGAAUGCUAUUGUUGAUGGGUUUGGUUCAGACUUAUAUGUUGGUUCUGCUCUUGUCGAUAUGCACUUUAAACUCUUUAGGGAAGAUUGGGCGCAGAAGGUGUUUGAUAGGUUGCCUCAUAGAGAUACUGUUUUGUUUAACACGAUAAUUUCUGGUUUGGUGAGGGUAUGUUGUUAUGAGGACUCCAUCAGACGUUUUAAGGAUAUGGUUUCUGGUAAUGGGCCACGGUUUGAUGCCACUACAGUAAUAGCAGUGUUGCCAGCUGUGGCAGAAUUACAGAAGUUGAGAUUAGGGAUGGAGAUUCAAUGCUUGGCAAUAAAGUUGGGCUUUCAUUCUCAUAUUUCUUUGCUUACGGGUUUGAUUUCAUUGUAUUCCAAAUGUGGCAAUGUUGAGACAGCAAACCUAUUGUUUAGGGAUAUUGGCAGAAAAGAUUUGAUAUCUUAUAAUGCUAUGAUUUCCGGGUCUACUUGCAAUGGUGAGAUAGAGUCUUCAGUGAGAUUGUUCAGAGAGUGGCUUGGUUCUGGAGAGAAGGUUAAUUCAAGCUCAAUUGUGGGAUUGAUUCCUGUAUAUUCCCCUUUUGGUCAUUUACUUCUUACUAACUGCAUUCAUGGCUUUUGUGUGAAAUCUGGUACUGUUUCACAUUCUUCUGUUUCAACUGCCUUGACUACAGUAUAUUGUAGAUUAAAUGAAAUGGAAUCAGCACGACAACUUUUUGAUGAAUCUUCAGAGAAAACUUUAGCUUCUUGGAAUGCCAUGAUAGCAGGUUAUACCCAAAAUGGUUUAACAGAAACAGCAAUUUCUCUUUUUCAAGAAAUGCAGAUGUCUAAUGUCAGUCCAAAUCCUGUCACAGUUACAAGUAUUCUUUCAGCUUGUGCUCAACUUGGAGCCUUGAGUCUAGGAAAAUGGGUACAUGGUUUAGUUGAGAAUAAGAGCUUUGAGUCUAAUAUAUAUGUUUCAACUGCUUUAAUCGACAUGUAUGCAAAGUGUGGGAGCAUUUUAGAGGCUCGGCAAUUAUUUGAGUCAAUGCCUCAUAAGAAUGAGGUAACUUGGAAUGCCAUGGUUUCUGGAUAUGGUGUCCAUGGGCAUGGGCAGGAAGCUCUAGAACUCUUCUAUGAGAUGUUGAAUUCUGGCAUUCGACCAUCUAGAGUCACUUUUCUUUCUGCAUUGUAUGCUUGCAGUCAUGCUGGCUUAGUAAGAGAAGGAGAUGAAAUUUUCCAUUGCAUGGUCCAUGACUAUGGGCUUGAACCCUUACCUGAGCAUUAUGCAUGCAUGGUUGACAUCCUUGGGCGAGCAGGAAAAUUGCAGGAUGCUUUGCAAUUUAUCAAGAGAAUGCCGGUUGAGCCAGGUCCCCCUGUGUGGGGUGCGUUGCUCGGUGCUUGCAUGAUUCACAAGGACACUAGCCUAGGCUGUGUGGCAUCCCAAAGGCUAUUUGAAUUGGACCCACAAAACAUGGGUUACUAUGUCUUGAUGUCAAAUAUUUACUCCACUGAGAGGAACUAUCCACAAGCUGCUUUAGUGAGACAAACAGCUAAGAGUAGAAACCUGAUAAAGACUCCAGGCUGCACCUUAAUUGAGGUUGGCCAGGUUCCACAUGUCUUCAGGUCUGGUGAUCGGUCCCAUCCACAAUCAACAGCAAUCUAUUCAGAGCUUGAUAAUUUGACUGCAAAGAUGAAGGAGGCUGGAUUUCAGACAGAGACUGAUACUGCUUUACAUGAUGUGGAGGAGGAAGAGAAGGAACUGAUGAUGAAGGUUCAUAGUGAGAAGUUAGCUAUUGUUUUUGGCCUUAUCUCUACUGAACCUGGAACUGAAAUUAGGAUCAUUAAGAAUCUCCGUGUUUGUUUAGAUUGUCAUACAGCAACUAAAUUUAUAUCUAAGAUUACAGAGAGGGUUAUUGUGGUAAGGGAUGCGAAAAGGUUCCAUCAUUUCAAGGAUGGUGUGUGUUCUUGUGGAGACUAUUGGUGACAAAUUUGUUGUCUACAAUGAUUAUGGUAUGUGAGUAUUGAACAAUCAUCUAAUCUCUCACACUUUUGUUGAUUAUAUAGCAGUGAUAAAGCAGGACAAUGAAACUGUCAUUUUGAGAUGCAUGACAUUUCAUUGAAACUUACUAAGUCACUGAAUAUUCCAAAGACUUUGUUAAAAAUUAUGAACUAGCAGGUUUUUUUUUUUGGUUGUUUAAAUUCUAUGUUUACCUAAUCCUUGAUGUCAAUAUGAAAACCAGUUAUAUCAAGCCAAUGCUCUUCAUAGCAUGUAAAGGCCAGAUCAUUUUCUGUUAUGUUCCUUUACUUUUAUAUUCAGAUUCAGUUGAAUUGAAGUGAGGAAGUUCCAAGCUCUUUUAAUUGUUCCUACAAAGUUCAAGCAUUCUCAGGAUAUCAGACACUUAUCAGAUGGCCUACCUAGAUGAUUGGGCUUUACUUG
rnacentral:misc_RNA from 1 species